rnacentral:rRNA from 2 species
GCAUUAGCUAGUUGGUGAGGUAACGGCUCACCAAGGCGACGAUGCGUAGCCGACCUGAGAGGGUGAUCGGCCACACUGGGACUGAGACACGGCCCAGACUCCUACGGGAGGCAGCAGUAGGGAAUCUUCCGCAAUGGACGAAAGUCUGACGGAGCAACGCCGCGUGAGCGAUGAAGGCCUUCGGGUCGUAAAGCUCUGUUGUCAGGGAAGAACAAGUACCGGAGUAACUGCCGGUACCUUGACGGUACCUGACCAGAAAGCCACGGCUAACUACGUGCCAGCAGCCGCGGUAAUACGUAGGUGGCAAGCGUUGUCCGGAAUUAUUGGGCGUAAAGCGCGCGCAGGCGGUUCCUUAAGUCUGAUGUGAAAGCCCCCGGCUCAACCGGGGAGGGUCAUUGGAAACUGGGGAACUUGAGUGCAGAAGAGGAGAGCGGAAUUCCACGUGUAGCGGUGAAAUGCGUAGAGAUGUGGAGGANACACCAGNUNGGCGAAGGCGGCUCUCUGGUCUGUAACUGACGCUGAGGCGCGAAAGCGUGGGGAGCGAACAGGAUUAGAUACCCUGGUAGUCCACGCCGUAAACGAUGAGUGCUAAGUGUUAGAGGGUUUCCGCCCUUUAGUGCUGCAGCAAACGCAUUAAGCACUCCGCCUGGGGAGUACGNGCCNGCAAGGCUGAAACUCAAAGGAAUUGACGGGGGCCCGCACAAGCGGUGGAGCAUGUGGUUUAAUUCGAAGCAACGCGAAGAACCUUACCAGGUCUUGACAUCCUCUGACAACCCUAGAGAUAGGGCUUUCCCCUUCGGGGGACAGAGUGACAGGUGGUGCAUGGUUGUCGUCAGCUCGUGUCGUGAGAUGUUGGGUUAAGUCCCGCAACGAGCGCAACCCUUGAUCUUAGUUGCCAGCAUUAAGUUGGGCACUCUAAGGUGACUGCCGGUGACAAACCGGAGGAAGGUGGGGAUGACGUCAAAUCAUCAUGCCCCUUAUGACCUGGGCUACACACGUGCUACAAUGGAUGGAACAAAGGGCAGCGAAGCCGCGAGGUGAAGCCAAUCCCAUAAAACCAUUCUCAGUUCGGAUUGCAGGCUGCAACUCGCCUGCAUGAAGCCGGAAUCGCUAGUAA